rnacentral:rRNA from 1 species
AGAGUUUGAUCUUGGCUCAGGACGAACGCUGGCGGCAUGCCUAAUACAUGCAAGUCGAACGAUGAUAUCACUGCUUGCAGUGAUUGAUUAGUGGCGAACGGGUGAGUAACACGUGAGGAACUUGCCCAUGAGCGGGGGACAACAUUCGGAAACGGAUGCUAAUACCCCAUAGGUGGAUUGGUCGCAUGACUAAUUCAUUAAAGGUGGCUCUGCUACCACUCAUGGAUAGCCUCGCGGCGUAUUAGCUAGUUGGUAAGGUAAUGGCUUACCAAGGCAGUGAUACGUAGCCGACUUGAGAGGGUGAUCGGCCACACUGGGACUGAGACACGGCCCAGACUCCUACGGGAGGCAGCAGUAGGGAAUCUUCCACAAUGGGUGCAAACCUGAUGGAGCAAUGCCGCGUGAGUGAAGAAGGUCUUCGGAUCGUAAAGCUCUGUUGUUAGAGAAGAACACGUGCUAGGUAACUACUAGCGCCUUGACGGUAUCUAACCAGAAAGUCACGGCUAACUACGUGCCAGCAGCCGCGGUAAUACGUAGGUGACAAGCGUUGUCCGGAUUUAUUGGGCGUAAAGGGAGCGCAGGCGGUCUGUUUAGUCUAAUGUGAAAGCCCACGGCUUAACCGUGGAACGGCAUUGGAAACUGACAGACUUGAAUGUAGAAGAGGAAAAUGGAAUUCCAAGUGUAGCGGUGGAAUGCGUAGAUAUUUGGAGGAACACCAGUGGCGAAGGCGAUUUUCUGGUCUAACAUUGACGCUGAGGCUCGAAAGCGUGGGGAGCGAACAGGAUUAGAUACCCUGGUAGUCCACGCCGUAAACGAUGAGUGCUAAGUGUUGGGGGCUUUCCGGCCCUCGGUGCUGGAGCUAACGUAUUAAGCACUCCGCCUGGGGAUUACGACCGCAAGGUUGAAACUCAAAAGAAUUGACGGGGACCCGCACAAGCGGUGGAGCAUGUGGUUUAAUU